GCUGGGUGUGGUGGUGCAUGCCUGUAAUCUCAGCAACUUGGGAGGCUAAGCUAAGAGAAUUGCAAGUUGGAGGCCAGCGCCAGCAACUAAUGCAGGACCCUAUCUCAA
rnacentral:sRNA from 1 species